rnacentral:sRNA from 1 species
AGAAAUUCUCUGUAGGUGAAGAUAUUUCAUUUUUAACCUUUCACACGUACCAACCAGAUGUUCUUGGGCAAGAUACUUAAUCACUCUGGGCUUCAGCUUCCUCACUAGGAAGAUUGGAUAAUGAUACCAUGACUACUUUACCAGGAGAAUGAACGAGCCAACUUCACUGGAAGCUCACAGAGCAGUGCUUGCUAUGCAACACAUCAGGAAAGAAACAUCCAUGAAAUCUCAGAACGACUGCCUAAACAGGACCCGAACAAGGACACGAAUGACCAUGUUAACAUGGAAGGGGAAAUCUCAUGGGGUCUCAACUCUAGAUAAAGAAUGAAGACCAACUUGGAUACCAGGGAAAUAAACAAACAAGACAACAUGCUACUGGGACAGAAAGAAGACCAGUGACUUGUAAAGCUACAGAAGCCACCUAAGUACUCCUGGAGUACUUGCUAGUGUCAACAUAGAUCAGCAAUGUUGAAGAAGUGCAAGUAACACAAAGGAAGCAAUCCCUACUUUCCAAAGAGCAGAAGAUCUUCCUAUUUCUAUAUAGGAUUAAAAAUGACGGAGAGCGGCACAUUUCAUCAUGAAUAUCAUCUGAGGAAGAGGAAUGGCUUCAGGACAUACAAGCCCACCUAGUCUUGUUCAGGCUUUUUCUCUAUGUUUAACACUUGAGAUUUGUCUCCAAGUUUCCUCAGGUCCUUUCCUUACAGACAAUGUAUUUAAGACUAGGCAGGUAUACUGGUUAGUUUUUGUCAA